AUCGAACGCUGGCGGCAGGCCUAACACAUGCAAGUCGAGCGGGGUUUUCGGACCUAGCGGCGGACGGGUGAGUAAUGCGUAGGAAGCUGCCCGAUAGAGGGGGAUACCAGUUGGAAACGACUGUUAAUACCGCAUAAUGUCUACGGACCAAAGUGUGGGACCUUCGGGCCACAUGCUAUCGGAUGCGCCUACGUGGGAUUAGCUAGUUGGUGAGGUAAUGGCUCACAAAGGCGACGAUCUCUAGCUGGUUUGAGAGGAUGAUCAGCCACACUGGAACUGAGACACGGUCCAGACUCCUACGGGAGGCAGCAGUGGGGAAUAUUGGACAAUGGGCGCAAGCCUGAUCCAGCCAUGCCGCGUGUGUGAAGAAGGCCUUCGGGUUGUAAAGCACUUUCAGCGAGGAGGAAGGGUGGUGUGUUAAUAGCACAUCAUUUUGACGUUACUCGCAGAAGAAGCACCGGCUAACUCUGUGCCAGCAGCAGCCGCUGUAA
rnacentral:rRNA from 1 species